rnacentral:lncRNA from 1 species
UGUGUUUCUACAAGUUCAAAAUAACAUCCUGCAGAUGACAGACAUUGAAACAAAGGAGGAGCUGGAAUCCUUGGCUCUGGAGAGCGUAACAGACAUGAGAGCCAUGCUGGGCCGCUGUGUGUACAACUCCCUGCUGAUGAUAGCAGUGCAGCCGUGCCACAAGAGAGUGUCCAGCGUCUUCCUCUUCCACUGCGCGGAGGUCGGGGCGGAGUACAUCUGUAUGGACCUGGAGAGAGCUGUGCAGCACCGGAAAGAAGACGGACAUUCUGGAAAGCAAAACUGGCCAGCAGAGACCAGACAGAUUCAUGGCUACAGAACCUCCCUCUGA